GCAGCCCCGCCGAGGGUGAGCAAACCACAGAAACGGCGUCCCAGUUCGGAUUGCAGCCUGCAACUCGGCUGCAUGAAGCUGGAAUCGCUAGUAAUCGCGGAUCAGAAUGCCGCGGUGAAUACGUUCCCGGGUCUUGUACACACCGCCCGUCACACCAUGGGAGUCGGGAAUGCCCGAAGUCAGUGACCCAACCGAAAGGGGGGAGCUGCCGAAGGCAGGCCUGGUAACUGGGGUGAAGUCGUAACAAGGUAAC
rnacentral:rRNA from 1 species